rnacentral:rRNA from 1 species
CAAUUAUACCGCGAAACUGCGAAUGGCUCAUUAAAUCAGUUAUCGUUUAUUUGAUAUUACCUUACUACAUGGAUAACUGUGGUAAUUCUAGAGCUAAUACAUGCUAAAAAUCCCGACUUACGGAGGGAUGUAUUUAUUAGAUUAAAAACCAAUGCCCUUCGGGGCUUUCUGGUGAUUCAUGAUAACUUCGCGAAUCGCACGGCCUUGCGCCGGCGAUGGUUCAUUCAAAUUUCUGCCCUAUCAACUUUCGACUGCUGGGUCUUGGCCAGCAAUGGUGACAACGGGUAACGGAGGGUUAGGGCUCGACCCCGGAGAAGGAGCCUGAGAAACGGCUACUACAUCCAAGGAAGGCAGCAGGCGCGCAAAUUAUCCAAUCCCGACACGGGGAGAUAGUGACAAUAAAUACUGAUACAGGGCUCUUUUGGGUCUUGUAAUUGGAAUGAGUACAAUUUAAAUCCCUUAACGAGGAACAAUUGGAGGGCAAGUCUGGUGCCAGCAGCCGCGGUAAUUCCAGCUCCAAUAGCGUAUAUUAAAGUUGUUGCAGUUAAAAAGCUCGUAGUUGAACCUUGGGCCUGGCUGGCCGGUCCGCCUCACCGCGUGCACUGGUUCAGCUGGGCCUUUCCUCUGGCGAGCCCCAUGCCCUUCACUGGGCGUGUGGGGGAUCCAGGACUUUUACUUUGAAAAAAUUAGAGUGUUCAAAGCAGGCUUAUGCUCGAAUACAUUAGCAUGGAAUAAUAAAAUAGGACGCUGCGGUUUUAUUUUGUUGGUUUCUAAGACCGCCGUAAUGAUUAAUAGGGACAGUCGGGGGCAUCAGUAUUCAAUUGUCAGAGGUGAAAUUCUUGGAUUUAUUGAAGACUAACUACUGCGAAAGCAUUUGCCAAGGAUGUUUUCAUUAAUCAGGAACGAAAGUUAGGGGAUCGAAGACGAUUAUUCUGGUCGUCGAUAGUGCCUACCUACGGCGCUAGUCCGCUGUGUCACAGCGGGCGACACCGUCAAAUUGCGGGGACACCCUAAAGGCCUGUGCUACACCUGUGUGCCAGAAAUAGCGCAUAGUCGUAAUAAUGCCAGGUAUGAUGGGAGCACACCAGUGCUCCUGAAAUGGGUAAUCCGCAGCCAAGUCCUUCAGGGCCUCGGUGCCCAUGGAUGCAGUUCACAGACUAGACGGCGGUGGGAGUUAGCUCUUGGGGAGUUAAGCUCUUAAGAUAUAGUCGAGCCGGUGCUGAGAAGCGCUGAAUUUAAAUGCAGAUACCGUCGUAGUCUUAACCAUAAACUAUGCCGACUAGGGAUCGGACGGUGUUAUUUUUUGACCCGUUCGGCACCUUACACGAAAGUAAA